rnacentral:lncRNA from 1 species
UUUCUUCUGACCCAGCUCUGGAAAACCUGUCUCAAGGAGAUCAGAGGAGGCAUGGGAGGUCGUUCAGAAUUGGCUUUGUGGACUGUUUUUCUUCCUGAGGCACUGAAAUACUCCUCUUGGGAACUUUCACCUGCUGGGGCUACUCCUCUCUCCUAGAGUGAUCCAAGUAAGUCUACUCUAUUUUGUUUGGCCUUCUUUCAUGUUUCUAGGGAAGUUGAGGGGC